UGGGGAAUAUUGGACAAUGGGGGCAACCCUGAUCCAGCCAUGCCGCGUGAGUGAUGAAGGCCUUCGGGUUGUAAAGCUCUUUUGGCGGGGACGCGGUACCCGCAGAAUAAGCCCCGGCUAACUUCGUGCCAGCAGCCGCGGUAAGACGAAGGGGGCUAGCGUUGUUCGGAAUUACUGGGCGUAAAGCGAGUGUAGGUGGUUUGCCAAGUUGGGUGUGAAAGCCUUGAGCUCAACUCAAGAAAUGCACUCAGUACUGGCAGACUAGAGGACCGGAGAGGAUAGUGGAAUUCCCAGUGUAGUGGUGAAAUACGUAGAGAUUGGGAAGAACACCAGUGGCGAAGGCGGCUAUCUGGACGGUUUCUGACACUAAGACUCGAAAGCGUGGGGAGCAAACAGGAUUAGAUACCCGUGUAGU
rnacentral:rRNA from 1 species